GGCCGUGUGGCGAAAUGGCAUCGCGUCUGACUACGAAUCAGGAGAUUGCAGGUUCGAGACCUGCCUCGGUCA
rnacentral:tRNA from 1 species